CUGGCGGCGUGCUUAACACAUGCAAGUCGAACGGAAAGGCCCUGCUUUUGUGGGGUGCUCGAGUGGCGAACGGGUGAGUAACACGUGAGUAACCUGCCCUUGACUUUGGGAUAACUUCAGGAAACUGGGGCUAAUACCGGAUAGGAGCUCCUGCUGCAUGGUGGGGGUUGGAAAGUUUCGGCGGUUGGGGAUGGACUCGCGGCUUAUCAGCUUGUUGGUGGGGUAGUGGCUUACCAAGGCUUUGACGGGUAGCCGGCCUGAGAGGGUGACCGGCCACAUUGGGACUGAGAUACGGCCCAGACUCCUACGGGAGGCAGCAGUGGGGAAUAUUGCACAAUGGGCGGAAGCCUGAUGCAGCAACGCCGCGUGCGGGAUGACGGCCUUCGGGUUGUAAACCGCUUUCGCCUGUGACGAAGCGUGAGUGACGGUAAUGGGUAAAGAAGCACCGGCUAACUACGUGCCAGCAGCCGCGGUGAUACGUAGGGUGCGAGCGUUGUCCGGAUUUAUUGGGCGUAAAGGGCUCGUAGGUGGUUGAUCGCGUCGGAAGUGUAAUCUUGGGGCUUAACCCUGAGCGUGCUUUCGAUACGGGUUGACUUGAGGAAGGUAGGGGAGAAUGGAAUUCCUGGUGGAGCGGUGGAAUGCGCAGAUAUCAGGAGGAACACCAGUGGCGAAGGCGGUUCUCUGGGCCUUUCCUGACGCUGAGGAGCGAAAGCGUGGGGAGCGAACAGGCUUAGAUACCCUGGUAGUCCACGCUGUAAACGGUGGGUACUAGGUGUGGGGUCCAUUCCACGGGUUCCGUGCCGUAGCUAACGCUUUAAGUACCCCGCCUGGGGAGUACGGCCGCAAGGCUAAAACUCAAAGGAAUUGACGGGGCCCCGCACAAGCGGCGGAGCAUGCGGAUUAAUUCGAUGCAACGCGUAGAACCUUACCUGGGUUUGACAUGGAUCGGGAGUGCUCAGAGAUGGGUGUGCCUCUUUUGGGGUCGGUUCACAGGUGGUGCAUGGCUGUCGUCAGCUCGUGUCGUGAGAUGUUGGGUUAAGUCCCGCAACGAGCGCAACCCUUGUUCACUGUUGCCAGCACGUUAUGGUGGGGACUCAGUGGAGACCGCCGGGGUCAACUCGGAGGAAGGUGGGGAUGACGUCAAGUCAUCAUGCCCCUUAUGUCCAGGGCUUCACGCAUGCUACAAUGGCUGGUACAGAGAGUGGCGAGCCUGUGAGGGUGAGCGAAUCUCGGAAAGCCGGUCUCAGUUCGGAUUGGGGUCUGCAACUCGACCUCAUGAAGUCGGAGUCGCUAGUAAUCGCAGAUCAGCAACGCUGCGGUGAAUACGUUCCCGGGGCUUGUACACACCGCCCGUCAAGUCAUGAAAGUUGGUAACACCCGAAGCCGGUGGCCUAACCGUUGUGGGGGAGCCGUCGAAGGUGGGACUGGUGAUUAGGACU
rnacentral:rRNA from 1 species